UUCUAUUUCUUUAGGCUUGCCGUACAUGCUAGAAAGGGCAGGACUUGAUGUACAACAUGAAAUACAACGCAAUAGAGAGUUCUAUAAAAACGCCGACGUUCGUCCACCAUUUACAUAUGCUUCUCUUAUCAGACAAGCUAUCAUUGACUCACCUGACAAGCAGUUGACACUAAACGAAAUAUAUAAUUGGUUCCAAAACACAUUUUGUUACUUCCGGAGAAAUGCAGCAACUUGGAAGGUAAUUUCUACAGAAUAAAUGUAAAAAUAUAUAUAUUUAUAUAUAAAUAAUAUUUAUAAG